UACGAAGGGGGCUAGCGUUGUUCGGAAUUACUGGGCGUAAAGCGCACGUAGGCGGCUUGUUAAGUCGGAGGUGAAAUCCUGGAGCUCAACUCCAGAACUGCCUUUGAUACUGAAGAUCUUGAGUUCGGGAGAGGUGAGUGGAACUGCGAGUGUAGAGGUGAAAUUCGUAGAUAUUCGCAAGAACACCAGUGGCGAAGGCGGCUCACUGGCCCGAUACUGACGCUGAGGCACGAAAGCGUGGGAGCAAACAGG
rnacentral:rRNA from 1 species